UUGUGGAGCGAUUUGUCUGGUAAAUUCCGAUAACAAACGAGACUAGCCUACUAAAUAGUUCGGCGAACCCACAAAGGGGCCCCGCUUCAACUUCUUGGAGGGACAGGUGGCGUUUAAGCCACACGAGAUUGAGCAAUAACA
rnacentral:rRNA from 1 species